rnacentral:rRNA from 1 species
GCUUAACACAUGCAAGUCGAACGGUGAAGCCCUUCGGGGUGGAUCAGUGGCGAACGGGUGAGUAACACGUGGGCAAUCUGCCCUGCACUCUGGGACAAGCCUUGGAAACGAGGUCUAAUACCGGAUAUUACCCUGGAGCGCAUGCUCCGGGGUGGAAAGCUCCGGCGGUGCAGGAUGAGCCCGCGGCCUAUCAGCUUGUUGGUGGGGUGAUGGCCUACCAAGGCGACGACGGGUAGCCGGCCUGAGAGGGCGACCGGCCACACUGGGACUGAGACACGGCCCAGACUCCUACGGGAGGCAGCAGUGGGGAAUAUUGCACAAUGGGCGCAAGCCUGAUGCAGCGACGCCGCGUGAGGGAUGAAGGCCUUCGGGUUGUAAACCUCUUUCAGCAGGGAAGAAGCGCAAGUGACGGUACCUGCAGAAGAAGCACCGGCUAACUACGUGCCAGCAGCCGCGGUAAUACGUAGGGUGCGAGCGUUGUCCGGAAUUAUUGGGCGUAAAGAGCUCGUAGGCGGCUUGUCGCGUCGGAUGUGAAAGCCCGGGGCUUAACCCCGGGUCUGCAUUCGAUACGGGCAGGCUAGAGUGUGGUAGGGGAGAUCGGAAUUCCUGGUGUAGCGGUGAAAUGCGCAGAUAUCAGGAGGAACACCGGUGGCGAAGGCGGAUCUCUGGGCCAUUACUGACGCUGAGGAGCGAAAGCGUGGGGAGCGAACAGGAUUAGAUACCCUGGUAGUCCACGCCGUAAACGUUGGGCACUAGGUGUGGGUCACAUUCC